AUUGAACGCUGGCGGCAUGCCUUACACAUGCAAGUCGAACGGUAACAGGUCUUCGGAUGCUGACGAGUGGCGAACGGGUGAGUAAUACAUCGGAACGUGCCUAGUAGUGGGGGAUAACUACUCGAAAGAGUGGCUAAUACCGCAUGAGAUCUACGGAUGAAAGCAGGGGAUCGCAAGACCUUGUGCUACUAGAGCGGCCGAUGGCAGAUUAGGUAGUUGGUGGGAUAAAAGCUUACCAAGCCGACGAUCUGUAGCUGGUCUGAGAGGACGAUCAGCCACACUGGGACUGAGACACGGCCCAGACUCCUACGGGAGGCAGCAGUGGGGAAUUUUGGACAAUGGGCGCAAGCCUGUUCCAGCAAUGCCUCGUGCAGGAUGAAGGCCUUCGGGUUGUAAACUGCUUUUGUACGGAACGAAAAGCCCUGGGUUAAUACCCUGGGGUCAUGACGGUACCGUAAGAAUAAGCACCGGCUAACUACGUGCCAGCCGCCGCCGUAA
rnacentral:rRNA from 1 species